rnacentral:SRP_RNA from 1 species
GCCAGGCAUGGUGGCGCAUGCCUGUAAUCCCAGCUACCUGGGAGGCCGAGGCAGGAGAAUCACUUGAACCCAGGAGGGCGGAGGUUGCAGUGAGCUGAGAUCAUGCCACUGCACUCCAGCCUGGGCAACAAAGAGGUGAAACUCUGUCUCAA